GAAAAGACCUGAGGAAGAGCUUCAAGAACAGUCGAAAGGACAUGAGGAAGGCGAUCCGGUGCUGACAGCACUGUAUACCAGCCUCCAAGACUAUAGCUCUGUGGCCUUGCAAACAGGAGGCAUCCAGUUAUGGCACAUCAAAACAAUGCCCAGCC